AAACUUUCAACAACGGAUCUCUUGGUUCCCACAUCGAUGAAGAACGCAGCGAAAUGCGAUAAGUAAUGUGAAUUGCAGAAUUCCGUGAAUCAUCGAAUCUUUGAACGCACAUUGCGCCCUCUGGUAUUCCGGAGGGCAUGCCUGUCCGAGCGUCAUU
rnacentral:rRNA from 1 species